CAUUGAAACACUGGUUCUCAUAUGAUCACUGAAGUUAAACAACUUCUAGCCUGGUCAGUGCUGAGAUGGGUGACUUCUUGGGAAUGCCAGGUGCUGUAAG